rnacentral:rRNA from 2 species
GUUGACCUCGGAUCAGGUAGGAAUACCCGCUGAACUUAAGCAUAUCAAUAAGCGGAGGAAAAGAAACCAACAGGGAUUGCCCCAGUAACGGCGAGUGAAGCGGCAACAGCUCAAAUUUGAAAUCUGGCCCCCAGGGCCCGAGUUGUAAUUUGCAGAGGAUGCUUUGGGCGCGGUGCCUUCCGAGUUCCCUGGAACGGGACGCCAUAGAGGGUGAGAGCCCCGUACGGUUGGACACCAAGCCUGUGUAAAGCUCCUUCGACGAGUCGAGUAGUUUGGGAAUGCUGCUCAAAAUGGGAGGUAUAUUUCUUCUAAAGCUAAAUACCGGCCAGAGACCGAUAGCGCACAAGUAGAGUGAUCGAAAGAUGAAAAGCACUUUGAAAAGAGGGUUAAACAGCACGUGAAAUUGUUAAAAGGGAAGCGCUUGUGACCAGACUUGCGCCCGGCGGAUCACCCGGCUCUCGCGGCCGGGGCACUCCGCCGGCUCAGGCCAGCAUCAGCUCGCUGUCGGGGACAAAAGCUUCGGGAACGUGGCUCCCUCCGGGGAGUGUUAUAGCCCGUUGCACAAUACCCUUCGGUGGGCUGAGGUACGCGCUCCGCAAGGAUGCUGGCGUAAUGGUCAUCAGCGAC